CCAUCCUUACCAACCUCUUCUUCCGCCGCCACCACCGAUAUGGCCACCUCCGCCACCAACCUCCGCACUACAUCCCUUAGCCACAAACUGUCCUCCCUCUCUAUUUCUUCUAACAACAAACUUUCUGCCUUUUCCCUCACAGUCCGCCAGCCCCGCCUUAAAUCCCGCUUCAUAGUACUCUCCGCCAACCUUGACGCUAAGCCCACUGUGCUGGUGGCCGAGAAGCUCGGGGAAGCGGGCCUAAAACUCCUAAAAGAAUUUGCUAACGUGGACUGCUCUUAUAAUCUCUCACCUGAGGAGCUCUGCACCAAGAUCUCGCUUUGCGAUGCUCUAAUUGUAAGGAGUGGGACGAAAGUGAAUCGCGAGGUGUUUGAAUCUUCUGGUGGGAGAUUGAAAGUUGUUGGAAGAGCUGGUGUGGGAAUUGAUAAUGUGGAUCUGGCUGCUGCGACGGAGCAUGGCUGCUUGGUCGUUAAUGCGCCCACUGCCAAUACCGUUGCGGCUGCGGAGCAUGGGAUCGCGCUCUUGGCUGCCAUGGCGAGGAAUGUUGCUCAAGCUGAUGCGUCUGUAAAGGCUGGUAAAUGAUAGUCUUUAUGGUUCUUUUGUUGAAAUGAUGAUCUGGUUCCUUUUGGGAAUUUUCUUUUGUUGGUAUUGAAGCUUUUGCUUAAGAAGUGAUUUCUGUAUCUGAUUUGGGUUAAAUUGUUUGGUUUGGAGAGAAAAUUUCGGAACUCUAAUGAGAUGUAUGAAUCAUCUUCUAUUAAUUUUUAAAAUUUUGAGAAGUGGGUAAAGUUCUGCAACGAAUACGACAUAAUACAGUGCUCGGUACUUGUCAGAUCUGGGAGUCAAUAGACGUUUGGGAUUCAGAAGGGUUUAUAAUAGGAGGUGUAGAAGAAAAUUCCGACUUCGGAUUGGAAAUUUAUUUUAUCAUAAGACCGUAUGAAGUAUAUAGUUACGUAUGAAGUAUAUAGUUAUGUUGUGGAUGCAAUUUUCCUGAUUAUUUGCUAUAUGUUUUCCUUUAUGGUGUAAGCUUUUUCUAUUGGCAAACAGGCUUUAGUUGUUGUCUGGACUGCAGAAGCACUAAAUUUGUGUAUUUUGAGUGAUUUAGGAAAGUGGCAAAGGAACAAAUAUGUGGGUGUAUCACUUGUUGGGAAAACACUGGCUGUGAUGGGUUUUGGAAAGGUUGGAUCAGAAGUGGCCCGGCGUGCCAAAGGUCUUGGUAUGCAUGUGGUUGCACAUGAUCCAUAUGCCCCAGCAGACCGAGCUCGCGUAAUUGGUGUAGAUCUUGUGAGCUUUGAAGAAGCAUUGGCAACUGCAGAUUUCAUCUCCUUGCACAUGCCUCUUACCCCUGCUACAUCAAAGAUGCUUAAUGAUGAAACUUUUGCAAAGAUGAAGAAAGGAGUUAGAAUCGUAAAUGUUGCUCGUGGAGGAGUGAUUGAUGAAGAAGCUUUGGUUAAGGCAUUAGAUGCUGGAAUUGUUGCUCAGGCAGCACUUGAUGUUUUCAACGAGGAGCCCCCACCGAAAGACAGCAAGUUGGUGCAGCAUGAGAAGGUGACUGUAACUCCACACCUUGGUGCUAGUACUGUGGAAGCUCAGGAAGGAGUGGCCAUCGAGAUAGCAGAAGCUGUUGUUGGGGCCUUGAAAGGUGAACUUGCUGCCACUGCCGUCAAUGCACCAAUGGUGCCUGCAGAGGUUCUAACAGAGCUGAAACCAUAUGUUUUGCUUGCUGAGAAACUUGGGAGGUUGGCUGUCCAGCUAGUAGCAGGAGGAAGUGGUGUGAAAAGUGUGAAAGUGAGUUAUGGCUCUGCUAGAGCUCCUGAUGACCUCGACACCAGGGUGCUCAGGGCUAUGAUUACUAAGGGUCUGAUUGAGCCCAUAUCCAGUGUUUUUGUGAACUUGGUCAAUGCUGACUUCACUGCUAAACAAAGAGGAUUAAGAAUAACUGAAGAACGCAUUACUCUGGAUGGUUCCCCUGAGAGUCCACUUGACUUUAUCCAGGUUCAAAUUGCCAAUGUUGAAUCGAAAUUUGCCAGUGCCAUAUCAGAGACUGGAGAGAUUAAGCUUGAGGGACGAGUGAAGGAUGGAAUUCCCCAUUUGACUAAGGUUGGAUCUUUCGAGGUGGAUGUGAGCUUGGAAGGCAGCCUCAUACUCUGCCGACAGGUAGAUCAACCAGGAAUGAUCGGUAAGGUGGGAAGCGUAUUGGGAGAGGUGAAUGUGAAUGUCAGCUUCAUGAGCGUUGGAAGGAUUGCUCCACGAAAGCAAGCUGUUAUGGCAAUUGGAGUUGAUGAACAACCCAAGAAAGAAACUUUGAAAAAGAUUGGGGAUAUCCCAGCAAUUGAAGAGUUUGUCUUCCUCAAAUUGUAGUGUGGCAUCAUCACUUAUUCUUCAUAUUGCUCAUUAUUAUUAUUAUCAUUGUAGUUUUUCUUCUUUUGGGGAAGGUUAUCAUUCCUUCAUUGUAGUGCCCAAUUUUGAUGUGAAUGUUGUGGUAGUUUUGGGGAGGGAAAAGAAUAAUCAAGCUUUGAGAUAAAGAGUGUAUUUGGGUACCAUACCAUCUAUCCUUGAUUCAUACUUCCUUUUAGCUUGUUCUGGAAUAUGCAGUUGGCUUUAUUGCUGAUCACAAUUACCAGCACAAGUAAAAUGUUAUCCCAAUAAAUCCAUUUCUGAAGAAUGUUGAAUGUUGCUGUUAAGUUCUCGGUUGUUUGGCCGCUCUCUCUAACCAUUCAAGAAUGAGAUUGGAGGUGCUCUUUUUAUGUUUUCCAGGUGAUAAUAUAAAACAACACAAGCAAAGAAAUGAAAUUAUCUUGUCCAUGAUGUAUUUGGGAAUUGAACGAGCGGACGUGUUUAAUCAAGGGUUAAAAUGUAACUAUAAUUAUUAACAUAUACUCUCAAGAUUGAAUAGUAUAAAUAUUAACUAGGUUUAAAGUUUACUUGAUCUCUG
rnacentral:misc_RNA from 1 species